rnacentral:rRNA from 1 species
UACGGGGGGGGCAAGCGUUGUUCGGAAUUACUGGGCGUAAAGGGUUCGUAGGUGGCCAACUGAGUCAGACGUGAAAUCCCUCAGCUCAACUGGGGAACUGCGUCUGAUACUGGUUGGCUUGAGUGCAGGAGAGGAAUGCGGAAUUCCAGGUGUAGCGGUGAAAUGCGUAGAUAUCUGGAGGAACACCGGUGGCGAAGGCGGCGUUCUGGACUGCAACUGACACUGAGGAACGAAAGCCAGGGGAGCAAACGGG